UUCCAGACUCCUACGGGAGGCAGCAGUGGGGAAUAUUGCACAAUGGGGGAAACCCUGAUGCAGCGACGCCGCGUGAGUGAAGAAGUAUCUCGGUACGUAAAGCUCUAUCAGCAGGGAAGAAAUAGCGACCUUUGGGUCGCCAGACGGUACCUGACUAAGAAGCCCCGGCUAACUACGUGCCAGCAGCCGCGGUAAUACGUAGGGGGCAAGCGUUAUCCGGAUUUACUGGGUGUAAAGGGAGCGUAGACGGCAGCACAAGUCUGAAGUGAAAUGCCGGGGCUUAACCCCGGAACUGCUUUGGAAACUGUGCAGCUAGAGUGCAGGAGAGGUAAGUGGAAUUCCUAGUGUAGCGGUGAAAUGCGUAGAUAUUAGGAGGAACACCAGUGGCGAAGGCGGCUUACUGGACUGUAACUGACGUUGAGGCUCGAAAGCGUGGGGAGCAAACAGGAUUAGAUACCCGCGUA
rnacentral:rRNA from 1 species